rnacentral:ncRNA from 1 species
CCCGCUGAGUUUAAGCAUAUCAAUAAGCGAAGGAAAAGAAACUUACCAGGAUUCCCCUAGUAACGGCGAGCGAAACGGGAAAAGCCCAGCUUGAGAAUCGGGUGCCACCGGCGUUCGAAUUAUAGUCUGGAGAAGCGUCCUCAGCGGCAGACCGGGCCCAAGUCCCCUGGAAAGGAGCGCAAGAGAGGGUGAGAGCCCCGUCGUGCCCGGACCCUGUCGCACAACGAGGCGCUGUCUACGAGUCAGGUUGUUUGGGAAUGCAGCCCUAAUCCGGCGGUAAAUUCUGUCCAAGGCUAAAUACAGGCGAGAGACCGAUAGCGAACAAGUACCGCGAGGGAAAGAUGAAAAGGACUUUGAAAAGAAAGUCAAAGAGUGCUUGAAAUUGUCGGGAGGGAAGCGAAUGGGGGCCGGCGAUGUGCCCCGGUCGGAUGUGGAACGGCGAGAGCCAGUCCGCCGAUCGGCUCGGGGCGUGGACCGACGCAGGUCGUGGCGGCGGCCCAAGCCCGGGCCUUUGAUACGCCUGUGGAGACGUCGUCGCCUCGAUCGUGGGAUCCAGCACACGUCGUCUCGGCGUGCUUCGGCACCUGCGUGCUCCGGGCGUCGGCCUGCGGGCUCCCAAUUCGGCUCGUCUUGAAACACGG